GGAAGCCGAAAGGUGACCGGACCCUUCGGGGAGCUUGCACAGGUGCUGCAUGGCUGUCGUCAGCUCGUGUCGUGAGAUGUUCGGUUAAGUCCGCUAACGAGCGCAACCCUCGCUGUGUGUUAUAUGUGUCACACGGGACUGCCGGUCUUAAGCCGGAGGAAGGUGGGGAUGAUGUCAAGUCAGCAUGGCCUUUAUAUCCUGGGCUACACACACGCUACAAUGGCCAACACAAUAGGUUGCUAAGCCGCGAGGUGGCGCCAAUCCAUAAAGUUGGUCUCAGUUCAGAUUGUAGGCUGCAACCCGCCUGCAUGAAGAUGGAGUUGCUAGUAACCGCAGGUCAGCUAUACUGCGGUGAAUACGUUCCCGGGGCUU
rnacentral:rRNA from 1 species